UUUUAGCCCGGAUCGCAGCGUAAAUCCUUUUUUGGUGGCUGAGGCUCCCGAAGCCACCAGAAAAGAUUGCAGCGCAGAGCCGGUACGCCU
rnacentral:sRNA from 1 species